CAUUUGCUGAGCUUUCAGAAAUUCCUUUUAUGGUUGUUGAGUCACUGCUUUGUAGCCAGUGCUUUCGGUUUCACGUUACUUAAAACCCUUCACUUCUAAUUAAAGUGUUUUCUGAAUUCCAGAAAGUCACAUCACAUCAGAGGGGAAAUAAAAGUCGAAACAUCCAGUGAAAGGCAGAGAAGUAACAAACCACUGCAACCAACACUGAGGGGGAAAAACAGAUAAGGUGACACCCUGGACAUGGCCUCAGACAUCCACAUGCCAGGCCCGGUGUGCCUCAUUGAGAACACUAACACGCAACUAGUGGUUAAUCCAGAAGCUUUGAAGAUCCUGUCUGCCAUUACACAGCCUGUUGUGGUGGUGGCCAUUGUGGGUCUCUACCGCACAGGCAAAUCCUACCUGAUGAACAAGCUGGCUGGGCAGCAAAAAGGCUUCUCUCUGGGCUCCACGGUUCAGUCUCACACCAAAGGCAUCUGGAUGUGGUGUGUGCCUCACCCUAAGAAGCCAAACCACACCCUAGUUCUUCUUGACACUGAGGGGCUGGGAGAUGUAGAGAAGGUAUGUAUUGAAGAUUCAAUUUGGGAACAAUCCCUUCACUUCUGGGUAUUCUCUACACUAUUUAAUUUUUACUCAAAUAAGAGCUGGCACUAAACCAUAUGUGUUUUUUUCAUUUCUGUUUACGUGCUAAGAGACCAAGUUUUGCAAUCAGGGAUCAUGAAAAUAUAAGGGGGAAUCGUAGAAGACUAUAGUGGUCAUUAGAUAGUAUUCUAAUUAUUAACAAGAGGCUGUAACAGUGAUGGCGAACCUAUGACACACGUGUCAGAGGUGACAUGCGAGCUCAUUUUUUUGGUUGUUUUUUUUGU